GCUAUAGCACGUUGCCACUUUAUGCUCUUGUUACACAGAUGGGUACCCAUUUCAAGAAGUCAAUAUUUGAUGAGCCCAUUCAAGUUGGUCUUCUUGGUUGGGCUUUGAAAGCGAAAAUGAAGAGGGGACUCAAGGCUGCUACAGAUGCUGGAACUUCAACUGAGGGUUCUACAGUAAGAUUACAGAUGUCAGCAAUCAACCAGAAGGAAACAACCCAUCUUAAUUGGGAACACAAUUAUAAUCAACUAUAGUCGUCGUAAUUAAAACCUUAUAUUAAAUUUAUAAAAUAUUUUUUUCAACUCUUCUGAGGAACCAUAUUCGAAGAGGGAUAU
rnacentral:misc_RNA from 1 species